rnacentral:misc_RNA from 1 species
CUCCCGCGCAUAUAACAAUUCUGCCCAAUUUUACACAAUUCCUCCAGAGUCCCUUCUGCUCUAUUCUUCAUCCCUUAUAUUCUGCUUUGCUCCCAUUACUGUAACUGCUUUCAGCCACGUGUUCCUUCCUCCAUAUUUCUCUCCAACGUCCAUUUCCAGCUGUGUAGUACUCUCCUUGUCUAUUUGCAGCAGUUUGUCUCUUCCUUCGUUCCUCCUUCUAGUAUAAACUUUGAAUGGUCUUGGGCCAGAAAGAGUAAUAGCACCUGGGAACAUACAUAAACUUAUAAUUGAAGAAGUUAAUGAACUAAAUUUUCAUCUCAUAAAACUCCCUCUUUUUGAGU